AUGGAAUGAUUGUUAGAUGUACAUGUCUGUCUGGCAGGUAUCAUCUGUCCUUGACAUCAUUUUCAUGGUUCAUUGGGGAAUGUUAAGUAUUUUCUGUUAAGGUCUCUUUUUCAAAUACUUAUAACAUAGAUCAUCUAUGUUUGGUGUGUGAAAUAAAUGUAAGCUGUUCAUGUCUCUCUUGUAUGUAUCAUCUGACCUUGAC
rnacentral:lncRNA from 1 species